AUUGUUGAUUGAAUUAUAGGUCGUUCACGUUGUUGUUAAGUCGUUCUUGUUUGUGUAUACCCUAGAGUGUGUAUGUCAUCGUCUUAUGAUUGAUUGUGUACUGUUCAUGCUUGACUUGUAUAAUAGUCAUCGUAUCUCAUCUACUACCUUGAUAGAGUUUGUAGUUCGUCGUCUUGUUAUAAUGUUCAACUUGGUGGAUCAAAAGAGUGCUUGUGUAGUUAUCAAUUGACUCUAAGUCUAAUGUUCGACAUCUUAUAAGUCUCGUUUUUAAGUCUUUUGAUGUAAUUCUCUUCUCUCUAAGUAUCAACAGAGGACGCGACAUCUACAACACCCGCUUCCUCUCGUCGUCCCUGUUUCUGCUAGUCGCUUCGGUUCAACCUCUCCUAGUCGUUCCCCAGCAACCUCUCCUAGGUGUCGAGGCAAAGAACUCCAACUUCUGCUCCUUCACGUCGUCCAACCGUAGCAGCAACCUCUCUCCGCCACCUAGCCCGCGGAGGUGGUUAGAGGGCCGCGGGAGAAGAGGGAAAGAGAGGAAGCUAGACCAAGAAGAGGAGCAAGGGGAGUUAGGGGACGAAGCUAGACCACCACCAACUCACCACCUUCCGUCGCUCCUCAACCUCUCGUCGUCCAGCCGCUAGUCCCCGCCGUCGUUCCACCUUACCGGAGACUAGAGGAGAAGAAGAAGGAAGGGAGCUAGUGGGAAAAGAACGGACUAAGCUAGACCACCAUCCACUCAGCACCUUCCGUCGCUCCUCAACCCCUCUUUUUCCGUCAGCCAAACUACUCAAAGAAAGGAAGCUGGGGGAGUUGAGGAGAAGAAAGAGCACCGGAACGCGCACCCUAGUCUAUACGGAGAGCG
rnacentral:rRNA from 1 species